rnacentral:rRNA from 1 species
UACGUAGGCAGCGAGCGUUGUUCGGAGUUACUGGGCGUAAAGCGUGCGUAGGCGGUUUUGUAAGUUUGGUGUGAAAUCUCCCGGCUCAACUGGGAGGGUGCGCCGAAAACUGCAAGGCUGGAGUAUGGGAGAGGUAGGCGGAAUUCCCAGUGUAGCGGUGAAAUGCGUAGAUAUUGGGAGGAACACCAGUGGCGAAGGCGGCUCACUGGACCGGUACUGACGCUGAUGCGCGAAAGCGUGGGGAGCAAACAGG